UACAUGUUGCGCCGCAGGAAAAAGAAGAAGAAAAAAAGACGCAGUAUACUAAUGACAGCCACCUCCAUGCUGACUGCUUUGAUUUCUGAACAGAGCGAGCCAGCCCGGGUAAAGCCGUAAUUACCUCUCAAGGAUAAACGAUAAUAUCACUUUCCUCAUCACGUCUUUGGGGCGAGACGGUCGACGCUGCACUCUCAUAGGCAAACGAAGCGACUUCUAUAUAAGACGGUUCGUCCGCAACGCUUUCCGGACUGAGCUGGAAUGUCAAGUGAAUGCCACUUGAUUGUUUUCAGGUGGAUUCACUUGACAUUCCAGCUCAGGUUUUUCCGUGCGGGUGUUUGACUGGAAAAGCAGACUAAGAACACUUCACCUGCACGUCAAUGGCAAACAGGUCAGAAAGAAAGGAAUGUGUCUACCUUCAUUUGUGAGAUGUAGCUAGUCUUCACCCAACUCCUACGUGCAUUGGGGGAAAGCCUACUUUAGGAAAUGUUCAGUCUUGUUACUGCAUGUUUCUUUGCAUUUAAACUUAGCGAAACGGUGUUUUUUUUUAUCGUUUGAUUUUGCUUUGACAUAAAACAUAUUUUCCAGUUCAUCUUCCUUCUUUUGCUGUAACUACUCCGAAGAGGUUGAAGGGAAGAGUUUGAGAUCUUCCUUGACAACAAGGCAAAAAUGUGUGCUAUACAAUGGAGAAGAGGUGGAAAACUUUUUUUUUUCAAGUUAAUCCACUCGGGAUUCCAGAUGAAGAUUUUUUUUCUCCGUGAGAGUGUUUGACUGGAAAGACAGACUGUGGAGACGUGUUUGAGACGACACACAGGCUGCAUCCGAAAUUCGUGUGUGUAACCUCUUCUCCAUCUGCCACACACAUCUCUACCUAGCACAGGCUGCUCUUCAUCUGCGUCUGAU